UACGGAGGGGGCUAGCGUUGUUCGGAAUUACUGGGCGUAAAGAGCGCGCAGGCGGUCGUUCAAGUCGCGUGUGAAAGCCCCCGGCUCAACUGGGGAGGGUCACGCGAUACUGAUCGACUCGAAGGCAGGAGAGGGAAGUGGAAUUCCCGGUGUAGUGGUGAAAUGCGUAGAUAUCGGGAGGAACACCAGUGGCGAAGGCGACUUCCUGGCCUGUUCUUGACGCUGAGGCGCGAAAGCUAGGGGAGCAAACGGG
rnacentral:rRNA from 1 species